AGCUUGUUGGCGCUUUUCAUUACAGAAGAAACCCCAGAAAAAAACAACAAAAAGGAUGGAAAAAGAGCAACAGACACAACAGAGACAGAAGAAGCAGCCAAAACAGAAUUUAAAUAAAUUUCGCAAUUUGUGCAAAAAAAAAAAAAAAACAAAAAACACUGAAAGAAUGAGUGGCUAGAGGUACGGGGGGAACACUGAAACAAAGAGUACGUAGAUGGAGGGUUUUUCAGAUUAAGUCGCAAUACCCCCGUUAAAAAGUGGAACAUAACCAGACAGCUAGAAAAAGAGAGCGAGAGAGAGAGAGUGGAUGAAGGGGGAGGGAGGAGUGAAUAGUGGAGAAGCAUUGCCAAAAUAGAUAAUAGCGAAAAAAGCAAACCGAAGACCGACCCCCAAACCACAAGUCUGUAAUGGGAAUACCCUGACAUUACAGAUCUCACCAGCUCUCUUUGGUUUUUUGUCGGUGUGGCAGUCAACUCCACCCUCUUGCUGCUCACCCUCCCCACCUACCAAUAUCCCCUCCUUCAAACUCCCCCUCCCACACCUCUGACAGUCGACAAAUCACGCAACAAAAGGAAGGAACAAAACUUGAUCGAAACAAAAGUUUAUAAAUUUAAAAAAAAAUUUUUGGAAAAACCAAAGCAAGUUUUCAGUUUUGUUCUCCUGCUCUAGGAAAAA